CCGACCUUAGCUCAGUUGGUAGAGCGGAGGACUGUAGUAGUAUACAAACAGAUAUCCUUAGGUCGCUGGUUCGAAUCCGGCAGGUCGGA
rfam:Vigna angularis cultivar Jingnong 6 scaffold371_17, whole genome shotgun sequence.